UACGUAGGGUGCAAGCGUUGUCCGGAAUUAUUGGGCGUAAAGAGCUCGUAGGCGGUUUGUCACGUCGGUUGUGAAAAUCCGAGGCUCAACCUCGGACCUGCAAUCGAUACGGGCAGGCUAGAGUUCGGUAGGGGAGACUGGAAUUCCUGGUGUAGCGGUGAAAUGCGCAGAUAUCAGGAGGAACACCGGUGGCGAAGGCGGGUCUCUGGGCCGAUACUGACGCUGAGGAGCGAAAGCGUGGGGAGCGAACAGG
rnacentral:rRNA from 1 species